ensembl:antisense Gm37305 predicted gene, 37305
GGAGAAACCUGGCCGCGGCGGAGAGGCCCGCAACCAGCCGGGGGUCUCACCUGCGGCAGCCGGAGGAGGAUGCCGGCGGCCUGGAUGAGCUCGCAGCCCAAGAUGCGCAGAUCCGUCUCGCUGGGCAGGUCCAGGCCGUCCUGCAUGGACGGGGUAGGCGAGAGCCGCUCCUCCGGGAUCAGCGAGUGGUCGAUGGUGAGCGACACCUCCGAAUACAGGCGGUCGCCGAUCAGGAUCCCUCCGGUCGUGGUCGUCGUCGUGGUGGUCGUGCCGGAGCUGGAGCCGCCCGCGCUCGGGGCGGCGGACGAGGCGGAGGCGGCAGCGGCGGCGGCGGCAGCGGUCGAGGUCGGGUGAGGCCCGGACGCCAUAGUUCCAGCGAGCUCCACGCACGCCCGACGCAGCCGGAACCCAAAGCGAGACUAACCAGCGUCCUCGGCGCGACGGAUCUUCCCGUGACCGCCGGCUUCCAGGCCGCCGCACGCAGCGUGCGCUUCCGCCCUGACGUCACCACGCCGACACGCCCUACCCCACCCUACUCCACUCCCCGCGCGCGCCAACGAGUUCCUACGCGCUUCGGUCUGUGGCACCGGGCGGAGAGGUCCGGAUGAGCAGGGCGGGGCAGGGUGCUGGCGGCUCAGGGAUGGUAAUGGCUUUAGGCACCGGAUAAUCCGGACUCUGGCCUAGUGAGUCAGCCCCGAUACUGUCUGCGCGUUGGUGACAGUCCGGCGGUCGGCGACACCGGAGUGUAACAAAGUGACUCUGAACCGGGCAGCUUCCCAGUUUGAGCGCCUGGGGUUUCCGGAAAGCUCCGAGCGCGCGUGGGUGUCGGGGUGUAGCCUAGAAAGGCAUGCCUAGCCCUGACCUCACUUCGCCGGGUUUACAGUAAUCUGGAAAAUCCCUAGUUCCAAAAAUAGGUUUAUGGCGAGGACAGUACACGGGCGAUUUCAUUGCGCUGGGGAGUCUCGUCUUAAAGAGAUGGUUUCUGUCAGAGUGGAGAGAAAGUAACUAUCCCUGUGUCAAUGAAGAGAAAAACACAGCUCUCAUCUUACAUGGAGUUUGGGAUAACCUAAAUCUGUGUUCCGGGACCAUGGUCAAUCAAAAUGGCUCCAGGAUAACCCAUCAUUUAUUCCCUUUAAGAUGAGAGCUGUGGUUUUUUGUUUUUUUCGAGACAGUUUCUCUGUAUAGUUCUGGCUGUCCUGAAACUCACUUUGUAGACCAGGCUGGCCCUGAACUCAGAGAUCCGCCUGUCUUUGUCUCCCGAGCGCUGGGAUUAAAGGCGUGCGCCACCACCGCCUGGCUGAGAGCUGUGUUUUUUUUCCAUCCAUACUAAAAGUCCCAAAAGCUGAGGUCGACCGUGAAACAAUUGAUCCUUCUGCCUCUGGCCUCCCAUGAUCUUUUUAUUCCAGCUUAAUCCUCUGAGAUGGCCUUUAGGGAGAAAGAAAAAUCUCCUGACUCAGUACAAAGGGUUGGAAUUGUUAUUUUGUUAAAGCUUACUUUCUUGAAAAGUGUCUUAACCUUGGACCUAUAGAGCGCACUGAGAAUUUGGAUACAUCUUAGUCACCAAAGCAAGGUAUUUUCACAGCUCAUUUUUACAAAGUGUGUUGGGACGGGCACUCUGGAGGCAAAGACAGGUGGAUCUCUGAUUAGAGGGUCAGACUGAUUCCAAGCCAGUAAGAGCUAUAUAAUAUCUUCAAAAAUGAAACAAAACCUCUUCCAAGCAAAAGCUAUAUAGAGCAGGAAGUGGUGGCACAAGCCUUUAAUCCCAGUACUCAACUAAAGCCUCAAAAACAAAAAUUUUAUGAUUGUGAUAGCUUUUUGUCACUGACAGAUUACCUAGAAAGUCCACAAUGAGGUUUAAUUUUGGUUUAUGGUCUCUGAGGUUUCAGGCUACAGCCAUGUGGCCCUAUACCUGUAGGACUGUGUAGGCAGAACUUUAUGGUGUGAGACCUUGGUAAAAACAAAUCCCUUGCCACCAACAAAGAGAAAGGGGAAUAUAUCCAGGGAUCUCCCUCCUCAAGUAGGUUGCCAACUCCUAAUUGCUUGUCCAGCUGUGACCUCAUCGUCGGAUUAACCCAUUUAUGAGGUAUUUGCCUUUGUGAUUAAAUCACCUCUCAGUGCUACUAGCUAAGGACAAGCUCUUCACAGGGUCUGUGUGUGGCAGGCAUUUCAUAUCCAAACUUUCUGUGACAGCAUAGGAGAUACAAGUCCAGGGGACAGGUAUGUCGGGACAAAACUUUUCCUAGUGAGACACUACACACCUCAACUACUCACCUCAGAUAGGGAACCUACCACAGACCAAAGUAUGGAUACCACCAGAGUGCAAACUUGGUGAACCAAUGAGUUUUAUUAGGGUUACUUACAGGAAUAAGGGUGAGGAGCAGAAAUGAUUUGGAUAGCUGCACCAUAAAUGUGCAAUUCUAUGCAUAUAUUAGGGUCGGCACAAUUUAGUGAAAACUUUUUUGGUGAUAAUUAACUCAAUUCCAUGUGGACAAUAAAGUUUAAGGUGUGACUCCAUCAAAACUCUUUGUAAAGUACACGUGACAUCUUCCAUAAAGAUGGGUUCUGUAGAUUCACUACAUGAGACACCUUCCAUAAUGAUCAAUUCUGUAAAUGACAUGCUCAUGAUACGGGUCUGGAGAAAGAUCUGAUGUGGUCUUGGCCACACAGCAGAAAAGGUCACCAGGUUAUUAGUCACAUCUGCUCUCGGCCUUCUGGGUGGAUAGCAGGUUAUAUACCCUCGUUUGAAGGAACAACCCUGUCUUUAACAUUACUGGUUCCUACCUGUAAAGGUGGUACACACCUUUAGUCCUGGCACUUGGGAGACAGAGGCAGGUGGAUCUCUAAGUUUGAGGGUAGUGCCUGUUCUACAGAACAAGUUCCAGGACAGCCAGAGCUACACAGAGAAACCCUGUCUUGAAAAACAAAACAUUCUUGGUUCCCCUGUUGCUUAUCUGUUGAGCACAGGACUUUUGUUCCUCCCACAGGAAGAGAUGGCUGAACAUGUUAUAAAUGCUUGCUCCUCAUUAUGUCACCAAACUACUGUUACUAUUUCUUUUUUCAAAAUUGUCCAUGACUAAUCCAGAAGAUGGGAGGUAAUGGGCUAGUAACUGGACUCUACGAGGUUUUUACUCGUUAAGUAACUGUCAUAUUCUUUCUGUGAUAGAAUCUAAGUUUGGAAAAAUCCAUUACAUUAUUUGUAAGUUAUUAUGGAGAAAGUUUUGUUUCCAAAUUACUAUCCACUUCCAAAACAGCCACGUUAAAAUGUGGAAAGACAAGGCUUGUUUAGAAUUACCAAGAAUUCAGGGAAGAAUAAAGAUCCGUGUUAUUCAUAGAAAAGCAUUAGUGGAGAUGAAUCCAGUCAAGUGAGGCCGUUGGGAGGCAAAUGACUAUGUUGAAUAAGUGAAAAUGUGUGUAUACGCACAUAAUAUUCUACUAUUAUUAUUAUUUAUUAUUGUGGCCCAGGUUGGCCAUGAAUUCAUUGCAGCCAUCUUGCCUUAGCUUCCCAAGUGCUGGUAUUACAAACCCAAGCCACCAUACCCUGCCUUGCUUAUCUUUAUAGACAGGGAUCCUACUAGUUCAACCUGAGUUCUGUGUGCCUGAAAGGAAACUUAUUGAAAGUAAAGUUACAUUUUUACUGCUUUAAGACAGGUGGAAUUCAGGUGAUACCAGAAAGACUAAUGGCUUUCCUGAGGCACUAAAGUAUCUUAUUCCCUGUGCUUAAAUUGUUCUCAUGUCAUUAGAUGCAGCCUUCUGGCAAGUGUGUCUUCUGGUUAUCAUUUAAAUAUCAGUUUUUAAGUUCUGAAACCAAAACUAGUAUUAUUUUUAUUUCUUUAGUAAUCAUUCUUUCACUAUUAUACUAUAGGAAUUUAAUAACACACCACAAAAAUUGAGCCUGAAAUUAAGCUCCAGAAGAAGGACUUCUGGGGCUGGAGAGAUGGCUCAGCAUUUAAGAGCACUGACUGCUCUUCCAGAGAUCCUGAGUUCAAUUCCCAGCAACCACAUGAUGGCUCACAACCAUCUAUAAUGGGAUCUUUUGCCCUUUUCUGGGGUGUCUGCAGACAGCUACAGUGUUUAGAACAUGCCACAUGUUUCAAACCAAUCAACCAUUCUCUUUUUCAAACUGACCAACUCUAAAGUAGAGGAGUAAGACUCUUCAGAGGCUUUAAAAUCCCCAUACCCCAAGAAGAGAUUUCAUUUUCAGAGUGUCAUCCUCUUUGUUUUGCAGAGGAUUUUUUUUUUCUCUGUGUGUUUGCUACCUGGGUGUGCCCCUCACCCUCAAUAAACACCUUCCUUUAACUGUU